rnacentral:rRNA from 1 species
CUUGCAUCAUGAUUUACACUGAGUGAGUGGCGAACUGGUGAGUAACACGUGGGAAACCUGCCCAGAAGCGGGGGAUAACACCUGGAAUCAGAUGCUAAUACCGCAUAACAACUUGGACACCAUGGUCCGAGCUUGAAAGAUGGCUUCGGCUAUCACUUUUGGAUGGUCCCGCGGCGUAUUAGCUAGAUGGUGGGGUAACGGCUCACCAUGGCAAUGAUACGUAUCCGACCUGAGAGGGUAAUCGGCCACAUUGGGACCAAGACACGGCCCAAACUCCUACGGGAGGCAGCACUAGGCCUGAAUCUUCCACAAUGGACGAAAGUCUGAUGGAGCAACGCCGCGU